AAAUAGCUUUGAUGAACAGAAGUUAAACAAUUAUUACAUACAUUACCAUAGCAACCAGAAGCCACACAACCUAGAGUUGUGAAAUUUGUCAUAUGAGAAGGGACUUGAACACAGAUGUUACAUGUUAAAUGUUGGUUUGAUCAGCUGAAUAUUGGUGAUAUUACAGCCAUUUGAAAUGUCAGAAAACUGAGUUUACUGCCCCCCCCCCCCCCCCGAUAUUUACCCCAGGGUGCU